GAAGAAAGAGGGAGGCGUGCUUAACACAUGCAAGUCGAACGCUGAAGCUUGGUGCUUGCCCUGGGUGGAUGAGUGGCGAACGGGUGAGUAAUACGUGAGUAACCUGCCCUUGACUCUGGGAUAAGCCUGGGAAACUGGGUCUAAUACUGGAUACGACAUGUCACCGCAUGGUGGUGUGUGGAAAGGGUUUUACUGGUUUUGGAUGGGCUCACGGCCUAUCAGCUUGUUGGUGGGGUAAUGGCUCACCAAGGCGACGACGGGUAGCCGGCCUGAGAGGGUGACCGGCCACACUGGGACUGAGACACGGCCCAGACUCCUACGGGAGGCAGCAGUGGGGAAUAUUGCACAAUGGGCGGAAGCCUGAUGCAGCGACGCCGCGUGAGGGAUGACGGCCUUCGGGUUGUAAACCUCUUUCAGCACGGAAGAAGCGAAAGUGACGGUACGUGCAGAAGAAGCGCCGGCUAACUACGUG
rnacentral:rRNA from 1 species